rnacentral:rRNA from 1 species
UACGGGGGGAGCAAGCGUUGUUCGGAAUUACUGGGCGUAAAGCGCGCGUAGGCGGCUUUGUAAGUUAGAGGUGAAAGCCCGGAGCUCAACUCCGGAAUUGCCUUUAAGACUGCAUCGCUAGAAUCAUGGAGAGGUGAGUGGAAUUCCGAGUGUAGAGGUGAAAUUCGUAGAUAUUCGGAAGAACACCAGUGGCGAAGGCGACUCACUGACAUGUAUUGACGCUGAGGUGCGAAAGCGUGGGGAGCAAACAGG